CGACCCCAGGUCAGGCGGGACUACCCGCUGAGUUUAAGCAUAUAAAUAAGCGGAGGAGAAGAAACUUACAAGGAUUCCCCUAGUAACGGCGAGCG
rnacentral:ncRNA from 1 species